rnacentral:rRNA from 1 species
AAGGUGGAUUUGUAAGUAAUUAUUUUUCUUAAAUUUAUUUGAUGAAGGGUGGAAUAACAUGUGUACAUAUUGCCCGUCGCUCUCGUUAUUUUUGAGAUAAGUCGUAACAUAGUUGAUGAACUGGAAAGUGUAUCUUUUUGA